rnacentral:lncRNA from 1 species
GGCCAAUAGGCUCAAUUGCUUUCGGCACGGAGAUUAAGAAACUCACUUUUUAAUGGAUAAAUGGUGUGGUUCACAAAAGAUUAAGCUUUUAAGUACUCCCUUAUUUUUUCCUUAAUCAUAUUUGGUUCUUUAUCCCAUUUAUAACUUGUUCAUUUAAUUUAAUUGAAUAUCAUUCUGAAAAUCAAAGAAUUGGAAUUGAAAUUGAAAUUGUCAAAUUGAAAUCAGCGAACAUCAGUGGCCAAAUAUCAUUUCGAAAAUAAAAAAAAGUGAGAGAACAAGCCGAAGCAAUCAAGAAAGUGAGAAACUGAGCUAAAGAUCGAAACUUUUAAUUUAUGUCUGUGUGUUUAGUAGAGAGAGAGAGAUGGGAUUGAUAAAGCAGAGCUCCAUCGGCGCACCAUUCUUCUUCUUCCUCACAAGCUCCAUCCGCGGCAGCCAUCGCCGCUCUUUCUGAGCUCCGGCGUGACAGCCCCUCCAAGCACCAUCACUGACAUCUCUCACCCUCUCUCUCACCUCUCCAAUGUUUUGCCUUCAAGCUUCAACAAUUCGACACAAAUUAUGAGAGACAAAAUUCCAAAAUAGAGUAGACGAAUCAAGAACAAGAGCAAGACGAAUCAAGAACAAAAUUCCAAAAUAGAGUAGACGAAUCAAGAACAAAUUAUGAGAGACAAAAUUCCAAAAUUCCAAAUUCGACUCAAACACAAAUCAAGAACCCUAAAUUCUACCCAUUUCUCGUUUCUCGUUUCUCAGGGACAAAGGUCUCCGACAGAUCGGAUAUAGGAGUUCUUAAUCCCUUUCAAACCACCUUCCUUCGAGCCUCUCGAACCGCCUUCCUUCGAACCUCCCGAAAUAGACAUGGAACGGAGAAACUGAGAUCUAGAGUAGACGAAUCCCCAUCAGAAAAUUGGGAGUCGAAAGCGUAUUCGCCGCUCAGAGACUCUUGGUCGACAAAAUCGACCAAGGAUCGGCCGGACUCUGAAGGAAUCGGCGAGGGUUUUUAGUAUACAUCACGGCGGGGAAUCACGGCCCGGGGGUGGGUUGCGGUUGAUCGGCGAAGGUGAGAGAGGCGGAGGUUGAAGAAUCAGUUCGCGCCGCUAGAGAGAGAAGAGAGGAUUUAGGGUUUUCGCAGGAGAGAGAGGAGAGAUGCCAUUUUCAAAAGUGAAAUGUAAAAAAAAAUCGAAAGAAAGAUUUAAUUAGC